rnacentral:lncRNA from 1 species
ACAUCCAGGGGACAUCACCGACAAGCAUCCAGCCCCCAUCCUUAUCCUUGUAUGUGAGUACGUAUUCAGAUCCAUGAAGCAAAUCCUUCAAUUUACUCUCACUUAACAUUUCCUUCCCAUGAGCUCCAUAUUGACCUGACAUAACAGAAAAAUAUAGCAGUAACUCAGAAUAAAAACUUCACUGUUUGAGCCUGCCAAUCAAGACAAUCGCGAUAACUAUGAAUCGAUCAGUCGGCGCUUCAAAAUAGCUUACCAAUAGUAAAACAGCUGAACAUCUUUUCAAGAGCAGAAGAGAGCUCCUGGUAUGCAGAAUAGUUUCUUAGGUCCACUUUCCUCCAAUAUGGAGCACCAUCCAUAAAUCAAACAAUCAUUAGAUUAGACAUUUUUAUAAUGAUGUCCAAAUAUCUCACUUCUUCCUCCAAGCAGGAGCUACUCACUUGGUAGCAGGAGCACCACUGCCCGCACGGUUUGAAGUCUCAUUCACAGCAGAAUGCUUCUCUAAAACUGUAACCUGAGUAUUUGCCUCUUUCAGUUUAGGUGGUUGCACACGUGAAGUCUCCUUUGUAUCUAUCACCUGUUGGGUUCAUGAAUGGAAAAUGGAGAAGAAAUGGUGGAGAGAAGGGAGACACUAAUUUGGAAAGUGUAUUCCCAAAUUGGAAAGUUCACUCAUUUCUUUCACAUUGGUGAUGCCUUGCCCCGUCGUCGUUCGAUUCGGAAAAUGAGAUUUAAUUUUUUUAGACAAAAUUUAUUUGGAACUUGUUUACAAGUGAUACAUGUACAAGUUCCUAGCUAGUUGAGAGCUAGUUUGUAUAUCUUUUAGGACUGAAAAUUCCGUUUUGUAGUAGGAUCAGAUGGACAUGUAGCUUUUUCCUAUAUCUCUGGGAUUGACGUCUGCUUUUGUUACAAGAUAGUGCUGCUAGAUGAUUUUAAAUUUUAGAAAAAGCUAAAGGAGUUACAGUCUGAAUCCACAAAUAUGUUGGUUUUAAUUUGUCAUCACAUUAAUACGUUUACUAGUGAUAUAACAAGCAUAACUCGAAUAUAAUUUUUGACAAUUGCAGGUGAUCAUGUGGUUGCUUAAGGCGGGGAGUUAGGAUUAGAGAUGGCAACAGCCAACUGGAUGGCAGAUAGCCCUAUAUGAAAGUAAUAAAUUAGAAGUUUUUUGAAAGCUUAAUGAUGUAAAAGUAAUUUGUUUGACUAGUUUUGGUUCAACACAAAGAUAUUGAAAUUUUGUGAUCGUAAAUUAAAUAUAAGGUAAAUGACUUAAAUGUCUAUUAAUUUUAUGGUGUUAAUGAAAAGAUGAUAUUAAAGAGUUACUAAAAAUAAAAAGAGAUUUUUUUUGAAAUAAAUUAUUUUCUCCGUCUCAUAUUAUUUGAUAUGUUUGUUAGAAUUCAUAUGUUUAAAGAAUUAAGAGAUAAUUAAAUGUUAGCCUUAAUAAUUUGAUGAA